rnacentral:lncRNA from 1 species
CAUGAAAUUAAUUUUAUUGCCAGGUGCGGUGGCUCACGCCUGUAAUCCCAGCACUUUGGGAGGCCAAGGCAGGUGGAUCACGAGGUCAAGAGAUCGAGACCAUCCUGGUCAACAUGGUGAAACCCCGUCUCUACUAAAAAUACAAAAAAUUAGCUGGGCAUGGUGGCGCGUGCCUGUAAUCCCAGCUACUCAGGAGGCUGAGGCAGGAGAGUUGCCUGAACCCAGGAGGCGGAGGUUGUGGUGAGCCAAGAUCAUGCCAUUGAACUCCAGCCUGGUACUUCCCAUUGAGCAAACUCAACUGGAAGUCGUAGGUCAAGGGAUCCCUGGUGGCAUUGGACAUAGACGUCAGCAUCCAAGGGCACAGAAUAGGGCCCAGAAUGGACCAGUACUUGCAAGUGGAGAAAAACCAAAACGCAUUAGAGGUAGGAUUCAAAUCCAUGCUAUUAACCACUCACUCCAUUGCCUUUUGAGAGUAAACCAGUUAGCUUCUCUCCUCCAUAUCUACAAAGCCCUUGGUGCCUCAGUUCCAUGUCCAAAGACAGCACUUUCACUUAAAGGCAUGACUUUCACCAGGAGGACUCAGUGAACAAGGAGUACAAAUGGUUUACUCAAAGGAGUCCCCAUCAGACAAAUUUUAUUCUCAAGCCACUUCUCCUGGUUUUAGCCAUGUGGUGCCAGUUCUUUCCUCACCCUUCAUGUAUAGCAAGCUAGUAUCUUCUUUCAGUUCCUUUUGCCCCACUUUCUACUAAAAAGAUCCCUCCUUAUUUUAAGCCUGCCCCUCCCAAGCCCCAGAGGUUUCCUUCUCUACCUCAGUGGGUUGAAGAAACUAACUUUUCAGCAAAAAAAGUAUCUCUAUCCACAAAGAAUUCUCACAUCAUCAACCAAGAAAACAUUUGUUCUUUUUUUUUUUGAGACGGAGUUUCGCUCUUGUUACUCAGGCUGGAGUGCAAUGGCAUGAUCUUGGUUCACCGCAACCUCCGCCUCCUGGGUUCAGGCAAUUCUCCUGCCUCAGCCUCCUGAGUAGCUGGGAUUACAGGCAUGUGCCACCAUGCCCAGCUAAUUUUUUGUAUCUUUAGUAGAGACGGGGUUUCACCAUGUUGACCAGGAUAGUCUCGAUAUCUUGACCUCGUGAUCCACCCACCUCAGCCUCCCAAAGUGCUGGGAUUACAGGCGUGAGCCACUGCGCCCGGCCACAUUUGUUCUUAUCAAUGCAUAUGUAUGCAUAGGGAUUGGCAUAGUGCUUGUACAAAAGAGGACUCAUUAAAUGGAGAUUAUUACUAUUAGCAGUAUUAUAGUCACUUUGCCUAAGUGAGUGUAAACAGAAAGCUUACAGUGACUGUAGAGAAUGACAAAAAUGCAGAAGGGCCAGGUUCUAGGCAAGAGAGACAAUGCUUCUAUGAAAACACUCUGAAAUAUUUCCCAGGAGAUGCACAGCUACCUCUGACACCAUAAUGCAUUUCCACUGAACCUCUUUACUGAGGGUUUUGGCAGCAUUCUUUGGAUUGCUGUUCUCCAGAAUCACUCUCCUAGGCACCUUCCUCAACAAGGAAAUAUUUUUUGACAAGUUACAGAUGUUCCUCUUUUCCUGAGAAACACUCCAACACAUACUAUUUUUCAAAAUGUUGAGUUUUGUGCCAUGAAAAUUGUGUUUCUGGCCUUGGGUUAGCAUGAUAUAAGAAACUUGAAUAACCAUGACCAAUGCAGGGAUAAUCUUUUGUUUUUGACUUUUAAACAGACAUUUUUGACAUUGCCCAUAAGUCUCUACUCUUUCAGACAUUUGUCUAAACCAAAAUGCAUUUUCCUGUCCAAAAAAAUAGCAAGUUCAAGCUUGUUCCCAUUACUUCACCUUCCUUUGACUCUAUAAUCUAUCAAAUAUAUUAUACACAGAAGACAUCUAAGGCUACAGAGACUUUGUGGGUUCUUGAAUCUUUUUUCAAUUAAUUUAUUUUUACUGUAUAUAUUUAAGGCAUACAUGAUGUUUUGAUAUUCACAUACAUAGUGCAAUGUUAGAUCAAGCAAAUAACAUAUUUAUCACCUUUCAUAGUUACCUUAUUUUUUCUUGUGGUUUUUUACUCUUCAUUCAUCAGUUUCCUUGCUGUAAAUGUUAAACUUUGAUGCUCCCAAAAUAGGUAAUUGUAUGAGUAUGAAUGAGAACAGGGCUAUGGAAUGAAGGCAAUAUCUAAUAUGGCUUGGCUGUGUCCCCAUCCAAAUCUCAUCUUGAAUUUACACAUGUUGUGGGAGGGACCUUGUGGGAGGUAACUGAAUCAUGGGGCAAGUUUUUCCCAUGCUGUUCUCAUGAUAGUGACUAAGUCUCAUGAGAUCUGAUGGUUUUAAAGAAAGGAGGAGUACCCCUGCAUAAGCUCUCUCUCUUUGUCUGUUGCCACCCAUGUAAGACAUGACUUGGUCUUCCUUGUCUUCUGCCAUGAUUGGGAGGCUUCCACAGCCACAUGGAACUAUAAUUCCAAAUAAACCUCUUUCUGUUGUAAAUUGCCCAGUCUCAGGUAUGUCUUUAUCAGCAGCAUGAAAAUGGAUUAAUACAACAUCAUAGAGACAAGUAAUUAUGAAAUUAUUGGCUUGUCCUCACUAUGAAAAUAUAGAUAUUUCUAUUCCAGUACAAAUUUUCACUGAGUAAUUUGGAUGUAACCUGAUGUCUUAGUCCACUCUUGCAUUGCUAUAAAAAACUACCUGAGGCUGGGUAAUUUAUAAAGAAAAGAAGUUUAAUUGACUCACAGUUCUACAGGCUGUACAGGCUGGGGAGGUCUCAGGAAACUUACAAACAUGGCAGAGGGGAAAGAGGAAGGAAGUAUAUCUUACAUGGCUGGGGCAGGGGAAAGAGAGAGAAACGGGCAGCACUACACACUUUUAAACAAGCACAUCUCAUGAGAACUCACUAUCACAAGAAAAGCAAGGGGUAAAUAUGCCCCCACUUCCCACCAGGCCCCUCCUGCAAU